UCCUCGUUAGUAUAGUGGUCAGUAUCCCCGCCUGUCACGCAGGAGACUGGGGUUCAAUUCCCCGACGGGGAG
rnacentral:tRNA from 1 species